rnacentral:miRNA from 1 species
UACCUCAUUGACCGGAAGGGAUUCCUUCCGUCGAUGAGGUUGUUAUACCUCAUUGACUGGUAGGAAUCCCUUCCGGCCAAUGAGGUU